GUACUGAUGAAGAGUCCAAAACUAAUGGGACGAAACAGCUGUCCAGUAC
rnacentral:hammerhead_ribozyme from 1 species